CCUACGGGCGGCAGCAGUGGGGAAUAUUGGACAAUGGGGGGAACCCUGAUCCAGCCAUGCCGCGUGUGUGAAGAAGGCCCUCGGGUUGUAAAGCACUUUCAGUGAGGAAGAACGCCUGGUGGUUAAUACCCAUCAGGAAAGACAUCACUCACAGAAGAAGCACCGGCUAACUCCGUGCCAGCAGCCGCGGUAAUACGGAGGGUGCGAGCGUUAAUCGGAAUUACUGGGCGUAAAGCGCGCGUAGGUGGCUUGAUAAGCCGGUUGUGAAAGCCCCGGGCUCAACCUGGGAACGGCAUCCGGAACUGUCAAGCUAGAGUGCAGGAGAGGAAGGUAGAAUUCCCGGUGUAGCGGUGAAAUGCGUAGAGAUCGGGAGGAAUACCAGUGGCGAAGGCGGCCUUCUGGACUGACACUGACACUGAGGUGCGAAAGCGUAGGUAGCAAACAGGAUUAGAUACCCCGGUAGUC
rnacentral:rRNA from 1 species